rnacentral:rRNA from 1 species
GGCGAACGCUGGCGGCGUGCUUAACACAUGCAAGUCGUACGGUAAGGCCCUUUCGGGGGUACACGAGUGGCGAACGGGUGAGUAACACGUGAGUAACCUGCCCACAACUUUGGGAUAACGCUAGGAAACUGGUGCUAAUACUGGAUAUGUGCUCCUGCUGCAUGGUGGGGGUUGGAAAGCUCCGGCGGUUGUGGAUGGACUCGCGGCCUAUCAGCUUGUUGGUGGGGUAGUGGCCUACCAAGGCGGCGACGGGUAGCCGGCCUGAGAGGGUGACCGGCCACAUUGGGACUGAGAUACGGCCCAGACUCCUACGGGAGGCAGCAGUGGGGAAUAUUGCACAAUGGGCGCAAGCCUGAUGCAGCAACGCCGCGGGCGGGAUGACGGCCUUCGGGUUGUAAACCGCUUUCAGCAGGGACGAAGCUUUUUGUGACGGUACCUGCAGAAGAAGCACCGGCUAACUACGUG